rnacentral:lncRNA from 1 species
AUGACCUACCAUCCCUUACGUGGUGCUACUCACAACUUCCCCAUGCUCAGGACUCAUGCCCUUGCUGCCUGCUUCCACGCCUCGUCUCUCGCGAUAGGACUUCCCUCUGUUUCUUAGUUUACUUCUUACUGGCUUCUGUUCACUGCUUUCCCUCAGCGGAUGCCCUUCAUUAUCCAUGCUUCCUUUGGGAGUGGCUGCAGUCUGACCUCCUCAGGAGACAAGAGUUCUCUGGGUGCUGAGGUCACCAUAAGGUAUAGAGCUCCCUUGCUGGUCAGCAGUCUUGAGCCAUGCUGCUUCUCAGACUGCCUGCAGAUAGCUUCCUUGGGGGCAGCGCUGAUCCUCUAUCUCGAUAGCUGUGGGCACAUUUAUGUGGACAGAAAGCAUCAAGAUUUAUGGGUCCAGCAGGCUCCCCAAGCACUGCACUUGAACCAGCCUUUGUCUGAGUGAGGAAGAAGUGAGGAUGAGACGGGGAGGAGAUGAGGAAAGAAGCUAAAAGGCUAAAUUUACAAAUGAAGGAUCCCCUGGGGUAUCAGCCAGGCAAAUGUUUGCAGGCUGAUUAGAGCACCCUGGAGAAUAUGGUGAUAGACUCUUUUUCUUGCCCUGAGUUGUCUAGGGAAGCCAGCCACAUGGUACCUUGAAACAAUCCCAGACUAAUGGCAGGGAGUGUUCCAGUAAGGAGGAGCUGAUGAGGGAUGCAUCAGAGACCCUGAGACCUUGCAGAGGCUAAGAUGGGCUGGCACCUUCCCCUACCUCCCCACCCCCCCACAGGAGUGCAGCAUAGAAGAACUUCAUGGCAGGAGCUUUCGUCCUCCCCUGCUGCUAGUCUCCAACCAAAAGAGUGGCUCUGCCUUUGGGGUUGAGUUAUGAUCGGUGGUCAAACCUGGGUGAUGUUCAGUUAGGAAAGAACCCAGAAAGCAAUUGCUCUAGCUUCAGAGAGCAUAUGAUUCCAUCAAACCCAAAAUAAAAUGUGUUAGAUCUUUGCAAGAUACUUUUAAAUGCCGAACUAUAGAUCAUCUUUGAGGGUUUCCUAUGACCAGAUACUGAGCUAAGUGUGUUAUGUAUAUAAAUCUUAUUUAAUCUUUGCAAUAAACCUUAAAAAUAGAAGAUACUAUCUCCAUUUUACAGAUAAAGAAAUUAAGGCUUAGAAAGCUUAUAGGACAUGCCCAAAGGCACACAAAUUCAAGACUCCACCCUAAGGCUGUUUAAGCUCCAAAUCUCAGCCCUUACCACCACAUUCUAGUUCAUCUUUCCAUACUCAUUUAAAAAAAAUCAUGGAGUUCCUGUUGUGGGGCAGUGGAAACAAAUCUGACUAGUAUCCAUGAGGAUGCGGGUUCGAUCCCUGGCCUCGAUUCGUGAGUUAAGGAUCUGGCAUUGCCGUGAGCUGUGGCGUAGGUCAUAGGCACCUCGGAUCCCAAGUUGCUGUGGCUGUGGCGUAGGCUGGCAGCUGCAACUCUGAUUCAACCCCUAGCCUGGGAACUUCCAUAUGCCACAGAUGCGGCCCUAAAAAGAAAAUAAAUAAAUAAAUGAAGGUGAGAGUUACUAAAUCCAUUUUUAAAGAGGAGGGAUUUUAGCAAAAUUAAGAGAUCAUGAGACUUACUCCAAGUCAUAUCACUUAGCAGAAAAGGGACCAGGACUGGAACUCAGACCCAGAACUUCUGACACAAAAGGAGAUGGACAGGGUAGAGUAGAAAGAUUGUGUCUUUGAAAUCAGACAGAUUUGCAUUCAAGUACCUGCUGCAGCGUGUAUUUACCGUGUGAUUUAGGCGAAUUUCUUAACAUCACCGAGCUAUCAAAUGGGGUUUUUAUACCUACACAAACUCUCUGUUCUUUGCACCAAUCUAGAUAAAAUGGCACGAGCUUAAAUGCACAGAUAUGUACAUAAAGGGAAAAGGUCCAACUUUACCAAUGAAUGGGGUCCCAAAGACUCCUUUAGCAGGUAUUAUUGAGAACUCUGAGUUACUUUUCUGAUACAAGUAAUUUUAGAGUGUGUGUUGUGGGUCGACUUGUGUCUCUCAACAUAGAUAGAUUAAAAUUCUAACCUCUUGAACCUGUGGAUGUGACUUUGUGUGGAAAUAGUCUUCGAAGAUGUAAUCAAUUGAGGUCGUACUGGAUUUAGGUGGACCUUGAUCCAAUGACUGAUGUUCUUAUAAGAUGAGGGGAAUUUGGAUGUAGACACAUAGGGAAGUAAACGUGAUGACAGAUACAGACAUAGAAACCACGCAUCUAUAAUCCAAGGAAUGUCAAUGAUUGCCAGCAACCAUGAGAAAUGAGGAGAGAAGCGUAGACCAGGUUCUCCCUCAGAGUCUCCAGAUGAAACCACCCCUGCCAACACCUUGAUUCCAGAUUUGUUGUCUCCCAAACUCUGAGGAAAUAAACUUAUGUUAUUUUAAGCUGCCUUGUGUAUGUGGUACUUUUGAUACAGAAAUCCUAGGAAACUAACAUACUAUGUUAGCGGAGUGUCAGUAUUUGCUGCCUAAAAAAUGAAACUAGCACAAAGGUUAGGGGGUGGAGACAGUGGCUAUUAUAUGGAUCAGCAAUUUGCGCUGGGCUCCACGGAGUCGUUCUUCUGGUCCUGGCUAGACUCAUUCAUGCAUCUGCAGUAGCUGCUAAGUCAGCCAGGAAGUAGUUGAUCUCUGUGGAGGCCACCACUGGAAUAGCUGGUCUCUGCAUCACUUGAAUCUUUUAUCCUCCAGAAGGCUUGCUUGAAUACUUCCUUUUAAUAUAAACUUUAUUGGAGUAUAGAUGACUUACAAUGUUGUGUUUCAGGUAUACACAAAGCGAAUAAGCCAUGCAUAUACCUAUAUAUUCAUUCUUUUUCAGAUUCUUUACUCAUAUAGGCUAUCACCAAGUAUUGAAUAAUUUCCUUGAGCUAUAGAGUAGGUCCUUGUUAUUGAUCAAUUUUUUAUAUAAUAGUGCAUAUAUGCCAACUCCAACCUCCCUACAACAUUUCUCCUUUGGUAACCUUUAGUUUGGUUUUAAAAUCUUUGAGUCUGUUUCUGUUUGGUGAAUAAGUUCAUUUGUAUCGUUUUAUUAGAUUCCAUAUACUAUAUCUCAUGUGGUAUUUGUUAUUUCUCUGUCUGACUUACUUCACUUUAUAUGAUAACCUCUACGUCCAUCCAUAUUGCUAUAAAUGGCACUAUUUCAUUAUUUUGUGGCCAAGCAAUAUUCCAUUGUAUAUAUGUACCACAUCUUUAUCCAAUCCUCUGUUGAUGCUCCCAUGUCUUGGCUAUUGGAUAUAGUGCUUCUAUGAACAUAAGAGUGCAUGUACCUUUUUAAAUUAGUCAUAUAUGUCCAGGAGUGAGAUUACUGGAUCACAUGGUAGUUACAUAUUUUUAGUUUUUUAAGGAGCUUCAUAUUGUUCUCCAUAGUGGUUGCACCAAUUUACAGUCCUACCAAUAGUGGAGGAGGGUUCCUUUUUCUCUGCACCUUCUCCAGCAUUUAUUGUUUGUAGACUUUUUGAUGAUAGCCAUUCUGGCUCGUGUGAGGUGAUACCUCAAUGUAGUUUUGAUUUGCAUUUCUCUAAUAAUUAGUGAUUUUGAGCAUCUUUUCAUAUGUUAUUCAGCCAUCUGUAUGUUUCUUUGGAGAAAUGUCUAUUUGGAUUUCUGACCAUUUUUUAUUGUUUUUUAAAUAUAAAGCUAUAUGAGAUACUUGUGUAUUUUGGAGACCAAUCCCUUCUCAGUCACUUCGUUUGCAAAGAUUUUCUCCCAUUCUGUGGGUUGUCUUUUCAUUUUCUUAAUGGUUUCCUUCACUAUGCAAAACCUUUUAAGUUUAAUUAGGUCCCAUUUGCUUAUUUUUGUUGUUAUUUUCAUUACUCUGCGAGGUGGAUCCAAAAACAUAUUGCUACAAUUUAUGUCAAAGAAUGUUCUGCCUGUAUUUUCCUCUAACGGUUUUAUAGUCUGUGGCCUUACUAAAGUUUAGGUCUUUAAUCUAUUUUGAGCUUAUUUUUGUGCAUAGUGUAAAAGAAUGUUCUGAUUUAAUUCUUUUACAUGUAGCUGUCCAGUUUUCCUAGCACUACUUAUUGAAGAGACUGUUUUUUCUCCAUUGUAUAUUCUUGCCUCUUUUGUCAUAGAUAAAUUGACCAUAGGUGUAUGGGUUUAUUUCUGGGCUUUCUAUGUUGUUCAGAAACUAAUCUCUGUUUCUGUUUUUAUGUCAGUGCUAUACUGUUUUGAUGACUGUAGCUUUGUAGUAUAGUCGGAAGUUGGGGAAGUGAUUCUUCCAGCUUUGUUAUUCUUUCUCAAGAUUGCUUUGGGAGUUCCCAUCAUGGCUCAGUAGAAAUGAAUCUGAGUAGCAUCCAUGAGGACACAGUUUUGAUCCCUGUCCUCGCUCAGUGGGUUAACAAUCUGGCAUUGCCAUUAGCUGUGGUGUAGAUGGCAGGCUUGGCUCGGAUCUGGCGUUCCUGUGGUUGUGGUGUAAGCCAGCAGCUACAGCUCCGAUUUGACCCCUAGCCUGGGAACCUCCACAUGCAGUGGGUGCAGCCCUAAAAAAG